GACGAACGCUGGCGGCGUGCUUAACACAUGCAAGUCGAACGGAAAGGCCCUGCUUUUGUGGGGUGCUCGAGUGGCGAACGGGUGAGUAACGCGUGAGUAACCUGCCCUUGACUUUGGGAUAACUUCAGGAAACUGGGGCUAAUACCGGAUAGGAGCUCCUGCUGCAUGGUGGGGGUUGGAAAGUUUCGGCGGUUGGGGAUGGACUCGCGGCUUAUCAGCUUGUUGGUGGGGUAGUGGCUUACCAAGGCUUUGACGGGUAGCCGGCCUGAGAGGGUGACCGGCCACAUUGGGACUGGGAUACGGCCCAGACUCCUACGGGAGGCAGCAGUGGGGAAUAUUGCACAAUGGGCGGAAGGCUGAUGCAGCAACGCCGCGGGCGGGAUGACGGCCUUCGGGUUGUAAACCGCUUUCGGCUGUGACGAAGCGUGAGUGAAGGUAAUGGGUAAAGAAGCACCGGCUAACUACGUG
rnacentral:rRNA from 1 species